GAGACAGGUGCUGCAUGGCUGUCGUCAGCUCGUGUCGUGAGAUGUUGGGUUAAGUCCCGCAACGAGCGCAACCCUCAUCGUCAGUUGCCAUCAUUCAGUUGGGCACUCUGGCGAAACCGCCGGUGACAAGCCGGAGGAAGGCGGGGAUGACGUCAAGUCCUCAUGGCCCUUAUGGGCUGGGCUACACACGUGCUACAAUGGCGGUGACAGUGGGAAGCAAGACCGCGAGGUGGAGCAAAUCCCCAAAAACCGUCUCAGUUCGGAUUGUACUCUGCAACUCGAGUGCAUGAAGUUGGAAUCGCUAGUAAUCGCGGAUCAGCACGCCGCGGUGAAUACGUUCCCGGGCCUU
rnacentral:rRNA from 1 species